rnacentral:rRNA from 1 species
AUACGGAGGAUCCGAGCGUUAUCCGGAUUUAUUGGGUUUAAAGGGUGCGCAGGCGGCCAUUUAAGUCAGCGGUUAAAUCGUGGGGCUCAACCCCAUUCUGCCGUUGAUACUGGGUGGCUUGAUUGCGGUCGAGGUUGGCGGAAUUCGUUGUGUAGCGGUGAAAUGCAUAGAUAUGACGAAGAACACCGAUUGCGUAGGCAGCUGACCAGACCGCAAAUGACGCUCAUGCACGAAAGUGCGGGGAUCGAACAGUAUUAGAUGCCCUGGUAGUCCGCACAGUAAACGAUGAAUACUUGUUUUCGGCGAUAUAAUGUCGGAGGCAAAGCGAAAACGAUAAGUAUUCCACCGGGGGAGUACGCCGGCAACGGGGAAACUCAAAUGAAUUGACGGGG